UAUUUUAAAGUGGUGUUUUGUGCAAGUAUAUAUCAAUUAUACAUGUGAUUGGAACGGGAUAACCUAGAAUUCUAAUUUUCAAAUUUUCUAAUUUACAUCAUUAGAAUCACUCGAAUAAUUAAGAAAUCAGAUUUCAAGGGAUGAAGAAUUAUCAUUUUAAAGAUGGAAAUUGAAAAAAUGUAUCUUGGUCUUUAAAAGCCUUUAAAGGUCUUACAUUCUUUUCCAAAAGUUGCUGAAGGCCCUAUUGCAGUACCAUGAUGAAAACAAUUUUGAUUCUUGUCUUUCUUCACAUCAAUUUUACCUAUGGUUUCAUUGGAUAUGACUGUGGAUCUCCAGAAAUGAAUGUUAAAACAUUUUCGCUUUUGGACGAUGAAAGUUGUAAUAUAGUCAACACCUCAAUAAGCAG